AAGCUGUGUUUCUUGCACAAAUACUACUGCUACUCUAUAUAGCCUGAAGCCCCGCCCCUAAAAUUGGAACAUACCAACAAUAUAAUACAAUGCAGGGGCGGCUCAG